rnacentral:rRNA from 1 species
UACGGAGGGGGCUAGCGUUGUUCGGAAUUACUGGGCGUAAAGCGCACGUAGGCGGAUCUUUAAGUCAGGGGUGAAAUCCUGGAGCUCAACUCCAGAACUGCCUUUGAUACUGGAGAUCUCGAGUCCGGAAGAGGUGAGUGGAACUCCGAGUGUAGAGGUGAAAUUCGUAGAUAUUCGGAAGAACGCCAGUGGCGAAGGCGGCUCACUGGUCCGGUACUGACGCUGAGGUGCGAAAGCGUGGGGAGCAAACAGG